CCUACGGGAGGCAGCAGUGAGGAAUAUUGGUCAAUGGCCGGAAGGCUGAACCAGCCAUGCCGCGUGAAGGUCAGUGCCCUAUGGGCGUUAAACUUCUUUUGUGCGGGAGCAAUAAUGGUCACGUGUGGCCAGACGAGAGUACCGUAAGAAUAAGCAUCGGCUAACUCCGUGCCAGCAGCCGCGGUAAUACGGGGGAUGCAAGCGUUAUCCGGAUUUAUUGGGUUUAAAGGGUGCGUAGGCUGGGAGGUAAGUCUGCGUGGAAAUGCCCCCGCUCAACGGGGUGAAGUGCCAUUGAUACUGCCUUGCUGGAAUGCGGAUGCCGUGGGAGGAAUGUGUGGUGUAGCGGUGAAAUGCAUAGAUAUCACACAGAACACCGAUUGCGAAGGCAUCUCACGAAUCCGCGAUUGACGCUGAUGCACGAAAGCGUGGGUAUCAAACAGGAUUAGAUACCCCUGUAGUC
rnacentral:rRNA from 1 species